GAUGAACGCUGGCGGCGUGCCUAAUACAUGCAAGUCGAGCGAACGGACGAGAAUCUUUCUUCUCUGAUGUUAGCGGCGGAAGGGUGAGUAACACGUGGAUAACCUACCUAUAAGACUGGGAUAACUUCGUGAAACCGGAGCUAAUACCGGAUAAUAUUUUGAACCGCAUGGUUCCAAAGUGAAAGACGGUCUUGCUGUCACUUAUAGAUGGAUCCGCGCUGCAUUAGCUAGUUGGUAAGGUAAAGGCUUACCAAGGCAACGAUGCAUAGCCGACCUGAGAGGGUGAUCGGCCACACUGGAACUGAGACACGGUCCAGACUCCUACGGGAGGCAGCAGUAGGGAAUCUUCCGCAAUGGGCGAAAGCCUGACGGAGCAACGCCGCGUGAGUGAUGAAGGUCUUCGGAUCGUAAAACUCUGUUAUUAGGGAAGAACAUAUGUGUAAGUAACUGUGCACAUCUUGACGGUACCUAAUCAGAAAGCCACGGCUAACUACGUG
rnacentral:rRNA from 1 species